AGCGAGAGUAGCUCAGUUGGUAGAGCACUUCCUUGCCAAGGAAGGGGUCGCGGGUUCAAGUCCCGUCUCUCGCUCCAU
rnacentral:tRNA from 1 species